rnacentral:rRNA from 1 species
ACGGUGAGGGAUGAAAGCUGGGGGAGCAAACCGGAUUAGAUACCCGGGUAGUCCCAGCUGUAAACGAUGCAGACUCGGUGAUGAGUUGGCUUAUUGCUAACUCAGUGCCGCAGGGAAGCCGUUAAGUUUGCCGCCUGGGGAGUACGGUCGCAGGACUGAAACUUAAAGGAAUUGGCGGGGGAGCACCACAAGGGGUGAAGCCUGCGGUUCAAUUGGAGUCAACGCCG